rnacentral:rRNA from 1 species
GACGAACGCUGGCGGCGUGCCUAACACAUGCAAGUCGAGCGAUGAAAUCCCUUCGGGGAUGGAUUAGCGGCGGACGGGUGAGUAACACGUGGGUAACCUGCCUCAAAGAGGGGGAUAGCCUCCCGAAAAGGAGAUUAAUACCGCAUAACAUUAGUUUCUCGCAUGAGAGAGUAAUUAAAGGAGUAAUCCGCUUUGAGAUGGACCCGCGGCGCACUAGCUAGUUGGUGAGGUAAAGGCUCACCAAGGCGACGAUGCGUAGCCGACCUGAGAGGGUGAUCGGCCACAUUGGAACUGAGACACGGUCCAGACUCCUACGGGAGGCAGCAGUGGGGAAUAUUGCACAAUGGGCGAAAGCCUGAUGCAGCAACGCCGCGUGAGUGAUGAAGGCCUUAGGGUUGUAAAGCUCUUUCAGUGGGGAAGAUAAUGACGGUACCCACAGAAGAAGCCCCGGCUAACCUCGUGCCAGCCGCCGCCGUAAUAC